UACGGAGGGUGCGAGCGCUAAUCGGAAUCACUGGGCGUAAAGCGCAUGUAGGCCGUGUGGCAAGUUAGGGGUGAGAUCCCAGGGCUCAACCUUGGAGCUGCCUCUAAAACUACCAUGCUUGAGUGCGAGAGAGGAUAGCGGAAUUCCAGGUGUAGGAGUGAAAUCCGUAGGUAUCUGGAAGAACAUCAGUGGCGAAGGCGGCUAUCUGGCUCGUAACUGACGCUGAGAUGCGAAAGCGUGGGUAGCAAAC
rnacentral:rRNA from 1 species